UACGGGGGGGGCAAGCGUUGUUCGGAAUUACUGGGCGUAAAGGGCUUGUAGGUGGCCCUGUAAGUCCGCUGUGAAAGUCAAGGGCUCAACCCUUGGAUGCCGGUGGAUACUGCAGGGCUAGAGUCCGGAAGAGGCGAGUGGAAUUCCUGGUGUAGCGGUGAAAUGCGCAGAUAUCAGGAGGAACACCGAUGGCGAAGGCAGCUCGCUGGGACGGUACUGACGCUGAGGCGCGAAAGCGUGGGGAGCAAACAGG
rnacentral:rRNA from 1 species